ACUUUCAACAACGGAUCUCUUGGUUCUGGCAUCGAUGAAGAACGCAGCGAAAUGCGAUAAGUAGUGUGAAUUGCAGAAUUCAGUGAAUCAUCGAAUCUUUGAACGCACAUUGCGCCCCUUGGUAUUCCAUGGGGCAUGCCUGUUCGAGCGUCAUUUGUACCUUCAAGCUCU
rnacentral:rRNA from 1 species